rnacentral:lncRNA from 1 species
CAGAGUGAGACAAUGUCAAAAAACAAAAACAAAAAACAAAAAACCCUGGUUAGAGGAGGUGAAAUGCAUUGCAUGACAAUCUCAAGUCCCCAAGCACCUGGAGGAUGAGCUAACAAAGGGCUCCUGCUCCUGCUUCUGGCUUUCUUCAGGACUCACUGCCAACCUCCCUGAAGGACAGAAAGUGCGGAAGUUUAAAAAAAAAAUGCCUGUAAUUCCAACACUUUGGGAGGCUGAGGUGGGCAGAUCACAAAGUCAGGAGUUCGAGACCAGCCUGGCCAAUAUGGUGAAACCCUGUCUCUACUAAAAAAAAAUAAAUAAUACAAAAAUUAGCCAGGCGUGGUGGUGAGUGCCUGUAGUCCCAGCUACUCGGGAGGCUGAGGCAGAAGAAUCACUUGAACCCAAGAGGCGGAGCUUGCAGUGAGCUGAGAUUGUGCCACUGCACUCUCGCCUGGGUGAUAGAAUGAAACUCUGUCUCAAAAAAAAAAAAAAAAAGUCUUCAGGCCACCAAUAUUGGCUCAAGCUCUGUGGUUAGGAGAUC